rnacentral:rRNA from 1 species
UUUCGUCAUGCUUGUCUCAAAGAUUAAGCCAUGCAUGUCUAAGUAUAAACAACUUUAUACUGUGAAACUGCGAAUGGCUCAUUAAAUCAGUUAUAGUUUAUUUGAUAGUACUUACUACUUGGAUAACCGUGGUAAUUCUAGAGCUAAUACAUGCGAAAAGACCCGACUUCUGGAAGGGUUGUAUUUAUUAGAUAAAAAACCAAUCGGGGCAACCCGUUUGUGGUGAUUCAUAAUAACUUUGCGAAUCGCAUGGCCUUGUGCCGGCGAUGAAUCAUUCAAAUUUCUGCCCUAUCAACUUUCGAUGGUAAGGUAUUGGCUUACCAUGGUUGCAACGGGUAACGGGGAAUA